rnacentral:tRNA from 1 species
GCAUCAGUAGUUUAGUGGUAAAAUCCAUCGUUGCCAUCGAUGGGCCCCGCGUUCGAUUCGCGGCUGAUGCA